AUAACGUUUAAAUAAAUAAAAGUUACUAUAGUAACUUAAGAUAAUAUGUCGACGGCUAAUUGAUCUAAGAUAUUUUUUUGCGUAAUUGAUUUGUAUUCAUCAUUUAAUGGAGCAUAAUUUGGUGAUUCCGAAUAUGUGUAUAAAUUAAUAUCGCAAUAAAAUGUUGCUUUGAUCAAAUUAGCCUUUCAACCAUCGAUGUGUUAAUGUGUAUGGAUUAGUGGUCGUCUCUGUGGUAUCUGAGAUCGAGCUCUCGGAUAAGAUUCUCGAGUCUUAGCGUUAAACACAAAAUUUUUGCUUUAAGUAGUAACCCAACUAGCACUUAAGAGUUAAAAUAAGCUAUAUAGAACCUGUAUAGAGACUAUAGCCGAAGUUAAUAGUGUUAAUGCAGUCCUGUAGUAGUGAGUAACAGCAUUCUCUAACACACUUGUAACCUCAAAAGAGGCCCACGAUUUUACAGGCAAGAGUAAUAUAAAGUGUAUAGAAUGGUGUUAUACUAGCAGCAGUGUGCCUGCAAUUAAGAGUCGAAUAUAGUCAAUAACAUACAUAAGAGUGUUAUUAUGGUUAUUUAAAACAGUUAGUUGACACCUUGGGUUAUAAAAAGGAUUUAUAAUGCUUUCAGAUAAAGCUGUCACUGCUUUAUUGAUACUUUGUUAACUCCAGUGUAUAGUUUUUAGUGUCAACACAAAGAAGAACGUUAAAUUUUAAUAGGUUAAAUACUUAUCCACGUAAAGUUUAGAUAUCGAAAUAUUAUGGUGUCCAUUUUAUUAAGUAUACCUAAAUAUAAAUUUUAUUUAAAAUUACGUCUGCGUCUUUUGUGUAUUGUGAAUUAUUCCUGCCCUUGUGAAUUUACGAAUGCCAUUUAAAAUAAUUCAAACGAUUGAAGGGAAUAAAAAGAAAUUAUUUACUGUUCCAUCGGGAUGGGAGAUCGAUAAUAUUCUAAGAUACCCUAACAAGGCUCCAUCGAAGUACAUUAAAGAUGAAAAUUCAAAACCUAACGCCUGAGUGGGAGAUUAUGAAAUGUACAGUAAAACGGAUAAAUAUUUCAAGCUACGAGGCGGGUGAUAAACAAAUUUCUGAAAUGAUGAAAUAGGUACAGCGAUACGGAUGAAACCGAUGAUGAUAAUCGACUACAGCCACGACGUCCACAUUUCAGUUUCCUCAAUAUGUUGCUCAACGGAACCCUGUUGUGUACAGCUCACACUUUCUUGAGCAAACCAUGAAAAUUAUUCAUUAUAUCUUGAUUAUGUGACAAA